rnacentral:rRNA from 1 species
AUUGAACGCUGGCGGCAUGCCUUACACAUGCAAGUCGAACGGCAGCGCGGGGCAACCUGGCGGCGAGUGGCGAACGGGUGAGUAAUAUAUCGGAACGUACCCAAGAGUGGGGGAUAACGUAGCGAAAGUUACGCUAAUACCGCAUACGAUCUAAGGAUGAAAGCAGGGGACCGCAAGGCCUUGUGCUCCUGGAGCGGCCGAUAUCUGAUUAGCUAGUUGGUGGGGUAAAGGCCUACCAAGGCAUCGAUCAGUAGCUGGUCUGAGAGGACGACCAGCCACACUGGGACUGAGACACGGCCCAGACUCCUACGGGAGGCAGCAGUGGGGAAUUUUGGACAAUGGGGGGCAACCCUGAUCCAGCAAUGCCGCGUGAGUGAAGAAGGCCUUCGGUU